rnacentral:rRNA from 1 species
AACGAACGCUGGCGGCAUGCCUAACACAUGCAAGUCGAACGAGACCUUCGGGUCUAGUGGCGCACGGGUGCGUAACGCGUGGGAACCUGCCCUUAGGUUCGGAAUAACUCCCCGAAAGGGGUGCUAAUACCGGAUAAUGUCUUCGGACCAAAGAUUUAUCGCCUUUGGAUGGGCCCGCGUUGGAUUAGCUAGUUGGUAGGGUAAAAGCCUACCAAGGCGACGAUCCAUAGCUGGUCUGAGAGGAUGAUCAGCCACACUGGGACUGAGACACGGCCCAGACUCCUAGGGGAGGCAGCAGGGGGGAAUAUGGGAAAAGGGGGGAAAGCCUGAUCCAGCAAUGCCGGGUGAGGGAUGAAGGCCUUGGGGUUGAAAAGCUCUUUUCCCCGGGAUGAAAAGGAAAGUACCGGGAGAAAAAGCCCCGGAUAACCCCGU